rnacentral:lncRNA from 13 species
UCCAUCUAUACUGUAACAGAAAGUAUGUGGUCUGUCGUGCUUUCGUUGUGAAUAGCUAACUUAUUACCAUGUUAAUACCAUGUUAUUUCCUUGCUCUAAUGUAAAGAAAGUCCUUCUGUAUUUCCCAGACUUUAUCCAGCCGGUAAAGGAGAAGCCAUGGACAGACUCUGCAGUGGCCCGGAGAAUGGUGACCACAGCCCUGGGGCUGCGGAGAGGUGGAGCGCUCUCACAACAUUUCUGACCGCUACAGCAGGUGAGAUGACAUUUCAACGUAGGCACAGAGAUGCAAAGUAAACCACAGAAUCGGGACGACUAAACUGCGUUAUCGGGUCUCGGCAAGAUAUUUUGUUCACAUUGUUGCUCAUCAUCACAUCAUAUUGCUGAGUCUCUGUUUAGGAAAUCAAGAACAUGUCAUGGUUUGCUUGUUUAUUUUUAUUAGAGAAAAUAUGAAGCAAGCACAAAAUGCUUUAAAACAAUCAACUGUGUAUACAGUAUAUGAUAAUCACCCAUCUAGUAAAGAGCACCCUUGUAAAAUAAAGGGCCCUGUAGUUGCAGUGUCACAAAAAUAGAAUGCAAAGAUGCAUUUUCACAUGUCAUUUGUGACUUGUACAAUCGAGAAAACAAACAUAAGAGUCCCUGACGGUAAUAAUUUAAUUUAAUGGAUGUUUGAAAAAUGAACUAAGCUGAGCAGAAUAUGGUGAUAAGACUAAAAUGUAUAUGUAUCUUAGAAUCCUAAGAUGAAAGGUAUUUAAAUAUAUUGCCAGAGUUGAUAUUAGGUGAUGCAAGAUACACUGUUAACUUGAGGCAGAAUCCCAACACAAAUGACAUGAAUAACUAACUCCCUCUCACCUAAAUCAUGCUGUUUGUCGCCGAUUUGGACAGAAGUUUGUGUACAUUUUAACUUGGGGAUUCUGCCUUAAAUGCUCAUUGCCUCUUUAGAGACGUAAAAAUGCAGGUUUGAUGAGAGGGGGGAAAAGUUUAUCCUUAGUGGUAGCUGUAUGGUUGUACAGCAAGAAAACAAUCAGUUCUUCCUUAUUUUAUAUUCACAAUGGCUUCUACUACAUGAUCACGCAAAUAAUCACGCAAAUAAUAUUCUCAGUGGAUGUAAGACUAUUCCGCUACUUUCCCCACCCCCACUUCAUAGGCACGUGCACUGGUGGCCCAUGUCUCUGUCAUCCAUGUCUAUUUAUUUAUUUAUUGAAUAAAUAGUUUUGACAGUAACCCUCCAACAAGUCUAAUGCUUCUUAGGUAGUUCUAUGAGUUUUAGUUUAGAAAACAAUCUCCGCAGAAGCGACAGUUACAGGGAUGGUAAAAAGAGAUCUUGAUUGUCGUAGCGACAUCAGGGGAAACUGGGCAGAAGAAAGUUGUUACAGAACUGCUGUAUUUGAAGCACAUCUUUAAUUGAGCCUCUCAUUCUCCUUAAUUGCCGACCUCAACACUUUAAGGAAAGAGACUAACUGUAUAGGAAGCUCUGGGAUAGUGCUGAGCGAUUAGUGAUUUUGGAGGUCUGUUCGGUUUCGGUUAGAUUAUUUAAAAAAUAAUCACAGUUUUGCUAAUUCUUUAAAAACAUUCAAUGCAAUAUGCAUUGUGGGUUGAAUGCUGUUACACAGAAUAAAACAAUGAAUAAAAGUCCCAUGAUGGUAGACUGCCCAUUACUGCUUAUCAAUUACUAACCAUCAUUUAUUCACAUUACUUUAAUAAAAUAUUUCAGUUGUGGUGUAUAUUACAUUUAUUUUUUAUUUUUAUGAAUAUAUUAUUUAAUUCCAAGUCAUCUCUAAAGAGCUGCUGCCUAAUGCUGUCUGAAAAGAAAUCACUAUUUUGCAGUUCUUCAAAUUAAAUGAGGCACACUUUUAUGACGGCUGAAUACCAACUAUCAACCACUUAGAUCAUGUGUUUACCUCACGGAACAACAGCUGCUCUCUAUAUCCCUUAAUGAUCGCGCAUUCUUCUCUCUUGUGUAGCAGUCAUAACAGAAACACAGAACGGAUCUGAUUUAUCUUUAGAGAAACUGUGUGCAGUGAGCUUACAGGAAAAAUAACGGAACUAAAUGAAAUACAAAUAAUUGAUUCAACGUCAGUUGUUGUUGUUUAAAAACCCGAAAAAUAACACAUUUCAGUUAAUCGCUCAGCACUACUAUGGGGACAGGGGGGGGGGGGGGG